UUUAGAACUACUGCUUAUUAUCAUUUUAACUUUAAUUUACCGUCAUAGAAAAAAGAGUGAGAGAUUCUUAUACUGGAUCGAUGUAUAGGGCACCACCUUUUUCACCAGGGUUCUCGACGGUUCUUGGUUAUUGGAUUUCUUGAUUUUUCCUAGUAAGAUUGAAAAUAUAUGUUAAAAUAAUGUGAAAAUACACAAAGAAUGGCGAAAAAGGUAGAAAAUCUCACC
rnacentral:lncRNA from 1 species